AUUGAACGCUGGCGGCAGGCCUAACACAUGCAAGUCGAACGAGUGGCGGACGGGUGAGUAAUGCCUGGGAAACUGCCCGAUGGAGGGGGAUAACUACUGGAAACGGUAGCCAAUACCGCAUAUCACCGGAUGUGCCCAUAUGGGAUCAGCUUGUAGGUGAGGUAACGGCUCACCUAGGCGACGAUCCCUAGCUGGUCUGAGGGGAUGACCAGCCACACUGGAACUGAGACACGGUCCAGACUCCUACGGGAGGCAGCGGUGGGGAAUAUUGCACAAUGGGCGCAGGCCUGAUGCAGCCAUGCCGCGUGUAUGAAGAAGGCCUUCGGGUUGUAAAGUACUUUCAGCGGGAAGGCGUUACCCGCAGAAGAAGCACCGGCUAACUCCGUGCCAGCCGCCGCGGUAAUUC
rnacentral:rRNA from 1 species